CGGGUGAGUAACACGUAAACAACCUGCCUUCAGGAUGGGGACAACAGACGGAAACGACUGCUAAUACCGAAUACGCUUGGGAGACCGCAUGAUCUUCCAAGGAAAGGGUGGCCUCUACCUGUAAGCUAUCGCCUGAAGAGGGGUUUGCGUCUGAUUAGGCAGUUGGCGAGGUAACGGCCCACCAAACCUACGAUCAGUAGCCGGUCUGAGAGGAUGAACGGCCACACUGGAACUGAGACACGGUCCAGACUCCUACGGGAGGCAGCAGUGGGGAAUCUUCCGCAAUGGGCGAAAGCCUGACGGAGCAACGCCGCGUGAGUGAUGACGGCCUUCGGGUUGUAAAGCUCUGUGAUCGGGGACGAACGGUCCGUAAGUCAAUACCUUAUGGAGGUGACGGUACCCGAAUAGCAAGCCACGGCUAACUACGUGCCAGCAGCCGCGGUAAUACGUAGGUGGCAAGCGUUGUCCGGAAUUAUUGGGCGUAAAGCGCGCGCAGGCGGCUUUCUAAGUCCAUCUUAAA
rnacentral:rRNA from 1 species